rnacentral:pre_miRNA from 1 species
CAAAUACUCCCUCCGUCCCAAAUUAACUGUCGUGGAUUUGCAUAGAACGACAGUUAAUUUGGGACGGAGGGAGUAUAUU